CAUGGUCACAUUCUCAGUAUUCUGCAACCAUCUGAAUGUUCCAUGACCCUAAAACACCCAGGCCCACCAUAAGCAUCUUGUACCAUUCGUACAAGCAGCUACCCUACCCGGGGAAGGUCUCUGCUGCUUGCUUGGAACCUGCUGUAUGUUUCAUGGAAUUUUAUUUGGGAGACAGGAGGUAAGAUUCAGAAGGCAAAUGACAUCACCUCCCCAGGGAGGAUGGGACCUGUCCAGAAAGCCUAGAUUACUUCCUGCUUUUUAAUGGGUCCUUCAGAACAGAGUGGUUCUAGUUUCCAUGGCAACAGGCAGGCAGCAACAGAAGGGAAGUGACUCCCUGAGCUUCCUCCCCCUCCCAUAAGUGCUUCUGGCAGCCAGUCUCUUUCUUGAGAGAUGAACUGAUGGCCAUGGAGAUGCCUACCACAGACCACAGGGACACCUUGCCUGGAACACGGUCUCUCCCCAGAGUGUGCUCAUCCGGUGAACUCCACCUUCUCCGUCUGACUCAGAACUGGCUACAAUAUAAAUAAUGAGUCCAUGACUGCUCUGCUGCAUCCUCUAUGGAAUAGAGGCAGAGAAUGUAUCUGCAAUCCUGGUGCUACAGCUUCUAACCCCAGCAUUCCAGAGGCAGAGGCAGAGGCGGCCUCAGCCGUGAACAACCUAGCAAUGGCCACGAUUAAGGCUCAGGACCUGCGCGGCAAGAAGGAGGAGGAGCUGUUGAAACAACUGGAUGAUCUGAAGGUGGAACUGCCCCAGCUUCGCGUGGCCAAAGUGACGCGUCCAAGCUCUCCAAGAUACGAGUCGUACGCAAAUCCAUCGCCCGUGUCCUCACUGUCAUUAAUCAGAUUCAAAAGGAAAACCUCAGGAAAUUCUACAAGGGAAAGAAGUACAAGCCCCUGGACCUGCGACCCGAGAAGACGAGAGCCGUGCGCCGCCGGCUCACCAAGCAUGAAGAGAAGCCAAGAAGCAGCAUCUGUACCCAUGCGCAAGUAUGCGCAGUCAAGGCCCGAGACGGCGACAGUGACAAUAAAGUGCAAGACUGUCAGGAAAAAAAUAAUCAUGGAGCUGGAGAGAUGGCUCAGCGGUUAAGAGCACUGACUGCUCCUCCAGAGGUCCUGAGUUCAAAUCCCAGCAACCACAUGGUGGCUCCCAACCGUCUGUAAUGAGAUCUGAUGCCCUCUUCUGAUGUGUCUGAGGACAGCUACAGUGUAUUCCUAUAUAAUAAAUAAAUCUUUAAAAAAGAAAUCAUGGCUGCCUGAGUGUGACUCAGUAGCUGUGGGGAUGUCCCUGCCAUCGCUGGUUCUCUGGGUUCUGAAUUUGAUUGAGAGAGCCUACUUCAAUAACUAAGAUGGAGAAGGACUGGGCAGAACCCUGACAGCCUCUGGCCUUGCACGUGCUCACAGAGGUGUGUUUAAAACUUGCAUAUUCUAGAGUAGCAGAGAUGGGUGAGUGCUUAGAGCAUGCACCACUCUUGAGGACGAUGAACCUUGGCUUCCACACCCACAUGGAGGUUUAACCAGCCUUCUGUAACUCCAGGGGAUUUGAUGCCCUCUUUCGGCCUCUAGGGGUAUCUCCACCGAUACUCAUAGAAAUAGAAUAAAAUCUUUUAAAAAUUACAUAAUGUGUUGAAGUGGCUCAGUGGAGAGCACUUGCCUAGUGCCUGCAGAGGCCCUGGGGUCCAUCUCCAACACAUUGGAACCAUUGGCCUGUGAUGGUCCAGGAAGAUACGAAUUGCAUAUUGGUUAAAACUUCCAUGGGCCUCCCCACAAGGACCUGAGUUUGAGCCCCAGGACACAAAUGGUGGAAGAGGAUGACUCCCAAAGGUUGUCCUCAGAUCUCUAUGCCUGUGCUGUGGUGUGUAUGUGUGCACAUACAAUAAUAAAGAUGCAAGCUACAUGUAUUUCUCUUAUUCUCUGUGUGUCCACGUGCUACAGAACAUAUACGGAUGUCAGAGGACAACAGGGAAUCAGUCCUCAUCUUCCAUCACGUGGGUCCCAGGGAUUGACAUCAGCCAGAGCUACAUGAAAUCCGAUCUCAAACUAAUCUUCAUAAAGACUUUGAGGGACUGGAGCAAUGGCUCAGCAGUGACUCAAGGUCACCCUCUGCUGGCCUUGGCGGACUAGGCAAAAGCAUGUGGCAUUUUCAAAAAAUAAUGUAUUUAAUUUUGUGUGCAUCAGUGUGAGGGUGUCAGAGCCCUUGGAACUACCAUGUGGGUGCUGGGAAUU
rnacentral:lncRNA from 14 species